AGGGAAGGGGAGAGUGAAGAAUGGAGGGCUGUGGUCCGAGGGCCGAGAAACCCCUAUACCAGACACAUACACCGUGGAGUGAGUGGGCCGCCGAAUUAGUAUUGCAUUUACUAAAGAAUAAUAGUCAUAUUGGGGGCUCAGAAAACCCGAAGCCUCAGUCUCCUCCACUCGGGCGAAAGGAAAAGAAAAGAGAAAUUCGAGUUUUCCCGCAGCAGCCCGCCGGCACAGGGGAGGGAGGGAACGAGAGAGAAAGAAAGAGAGAGAGAGGCCUGGGCCGCUUCCAGGACCGCUUCGAAUUCAGAUCGAGUUUGGAAGAUUUUUUUUCCUCCCAUCAGAAAUCCACCAACCGUCCUGGAGUUCCUGCCGCCAUGCUCCAUCCGAAACUUCAGAAACUCGAAUGAAAUCCCUUUCCCAAAGCACCGGAUUCAGAACCAGAGGAGAGUGAGGAAAAGAGACAAACAGAGGGAGAGAGAAGCUAAUGAGUUGAAUUGGGUUAUUAAACAAUAGAAUAUAACAUGUCUCCUUUCGGAAAGCGAAUCUCGGUCAUUCUCCCUUCUCCAGCGAAAGAAAUCAUUGUCGUUUCCUGCCCGGGUUUAAUACCCUGACGGACUCUCGAGAGAAAGAGUCGGAGAAGCGUUUUCCGGCUUUCAGCUUAUGCCGGGUCUCCCUUCCUUUUUCGCUUUCGCUCUUUCCGUGAAAUGUUUCCCAAACAGUGCGAUUUCUUCCGCCUGGGCGUUCAAAUCGCCUGGGAAUAAGCAAACGCUUCCCCUUUCUCCUUUUCUCUCGGUUUCUUUGUGUGUAUGUGUUUGUGUGUAUGUGUGUGUAUGUCCCUUCUUGCCUGAAACCCUGAUUUCGAUGGUGUAUGGCCUCUCACCUACCCUUUCUAGGACGGCGCCUGUCUCCGGCUAAGUCAGAUUUACUUUCGUUAGAGAAGAGGGAAAAAAAAAUCGACGGACUCACACUUUUCCGUUCGAUGGCGCGCGUGUCCCUAGGAGAUACUCCUCGUGUCUUUUAUAUCCCUUUCCUCCUUCGCUGGAACUGAACCUUGCUCAGUUUUUCCAUGACAGCCUUAUCUCCUUUCCCAGUGGUUUAUAAUUCGGCUUCUCUUUUUCUUCCCCUUUGAACUGAAACUUUUAGAAAGGGUUUACGCUUAUGUGCGCAUAUGAUCACACCCCCACACAUAUAUAUGUGUGCAUAUAUGGAUAUAUCUCUCUAUAUAAUUAUAUAUGGGGAUCCCAUUUUUAAAAUCAACUCAUUAAAAAAUAUAUCAGAA